rnacentral:rRNA from 4 species
CACGGUCCAGACUCCUACGGGAGGCAGCAGUGGGGAAUAUUGCACAAUGGGCGCAAGCCUGAUGCAGCCAUGCCGCGUGUAUGAAGAAGGCCUUCGGGUUGUAAAGUACUUUCAGCGGGGAGGAAGGCGAUAAGGUUAAUAACCUUGUCGAUUGACGUUACCCGCAGAAGAAGCACCGGCUAACUCCGUGCCAGCAGCCGCGGUAAUACGGAGGGUGCAAGCGUUAAUCGGAAUUACUGGGCGUAAAGCGCACGCAGGCGGUCUGUCAAGUCGGAUG